rnacentral:lncRNA from 1 species
AGGUGUGAAAUAACCUGAGAUUGCAUCAUUUUGAGAUCAUCUCCAAAUUUUGAACAAAACUGAGGAAAAUUUUGCCCCAGUUUGAUUGGAUUUUUCCCUUUGCAUUUUCUUCAUUGCAUUCUUCUUACUUUUGCAUUUUUUCAAAAACUAAAUUUGCCCCAGUGUGGGGUUCUCUUUUUCUUUCUGAUCAUUUUUCAAAAUGAAUUUGCCCCAGUGUGGGGUUUCCUUUUCU